rnacentral:rRNA from 1 species
CAGUCGCCACGGUAAUACGGAGGGCGCGAGCGUUACCCGGAUUUACUGGGCGUAAAGGGCGUGUAGGCGGCCUGGGGCGUCCCAUGUGAAAGGCCACGGCUCAACCGUGGAGGAGCGUGGGAUACGCUCAGGCUAGAGGGUGGGAGAGGGUGGUGGAAUUCCCGGAGUAGCGGUGAAAUGCGCAGAUACCGGGAGGAACGCCGAUGGCGAAGGCAGCCACCUGGUCCACUUCUGACGCUGAGGCGCGAAAGCGUGGGGAGCAAACUGGAUUAGAUACCCGUGUAGUCCCUGUCUCUUAUAC